AUCCCAUGGUGUGGACAUUGCCUUAAUAAUUCCUUGUAUCUUUCACAAGCAUCAAACAAAGAAUCACCAUCUCUUUGCCUAAAUGAAGUGAUCUCAUUCCUCAUCUU